rnacentral:rRNA from 1 species
CCUACGGGUGGCAGCAGUGAGGAAUAUUGGUCAAUGGGCGGAAGUCUGAACCAGCCAAGUAGCGUGCAGGAUGACGGCCCUACGGGUUGUAAACUGCUUUUAUACGGGAAUAACGCGUCUUACGUGUGGGGCUUUGCAUGUACCGUAUGAAUAAGGACCGGCUAAUUCCGUGCCAGCAGCCGCGGUAAUACGGAAGGUCCGGGCGUUAUCCGGAUUUAUUGGGUUUAAAGGGAGCGUAGGCCGGAUGUCAAGCGUGCCGUGAAAUGUUCGGGCUCAACCCGGGCCGUGCGGCGCGAACUGGAGUGCUUGAGUCCGCGGAAGGCAGGCGGAAUUCGUCGUGUAGCGGUGAAAUGCUUAGAUAUGACGAAGAACCCCGAUUGCGAAGGCAGCUUGCUGCAGCGGAACUGACGCUGAUGCUCGAAAGCGCGGGUAUCGAACAGGAUUAGAUACCCUGGUAGUC